rnacentral:rRNA from 1 species
UAGAGUUUUGAUCCUGGCUCAGGAUGAACGCUGGCGGCGUGCCUAAUACAUGCAAGUCGAGCGAACAGAUAAGGAGCUUGCUCCUUUGACGUUAGCGGCGGACGGGUGAGUAACACGUGGGUAACCUACCUAUAAGACUGGGAUAACUUCGGGAAACCGGAGCUAAUACCGGAUAACAUUUGGAACCGCAUGGUUCUAAAGUGAAAGAUGGUUUUGCUAUCACUUAUAGAUGGACCCGCGCCGUAUUAGCUAGUUGGUAAGGUAACGGCUUACCAAGGCGACGAUACGUAGCCGACCUGAGAGGGUGAUCGGCCACACUGGAACUGAGACACGGUCCAGACUCCUACGGGAGGCAGCAGUAGGGAAUCUUCCGCAAUGGGCGAAAGCCUGACGGAGCAACGCCGCGUGAGUGAUGAAGGGUUUCGGCUCGUAAAACUCUGUUAUUAGGGAAGAACAAAUGUGUAAGUAACUAUGCACAUCUUGACGGUACCUAANCAGAAAGCCACGGNCUAACNA